rnacentral:sRNA from 1 species
CCGCGUCCCCCGCGCCUCCUCCCAGCGCAGGUGGGUCCGCCCGCGGGGGGCGGGGGUGCCCGGGAGCCGUGGGACGGGCUGGUAGCGGCAACCUUUGGGGAGCAGAGUGGUCCCCAACGCCCAGGUGCCCCGGCUCGCGCUCUGGCCCGGGCGAAUCGGGCUAUAGGAAGGGCCACACGGAUGGAAGUCCUAGUCCGGAUGCUCGCCUCUUGUUGAACGUGCAAAGCCUGUCCCAGGACUUCUUUACACUCUGGGGGUCUCUGCCCAGGCACGCUUGCUGCUUCCGGGACACAGCUGUGGGCGGAGCUAGUAGGGGCGGGGCUACGUGAUUGACACUUCUCUCCUCAGACUUCAAGGGCUACCACUGGACCCUUCCCCUGUCUUGAACCCUGAGCCGGCACCAUGGUCAGCUCCUGCAAGGCAACCUGCACUCUUCCAACCCAUUCAUCCUUGUAGCACGGACGCCUGAAGGUGAAGACGUCAGAAGAGCAGGCGGAGGCCAAAAGGCUAGAGCGAGAGCAGAAGCUGAAGCUAUACCAGUCAGCCACCCAGGCCGUAUUCCAGAAGCGCCAGGCUGGUGAGCUGGAUGAGUCAGUGCUGGAACUGACAAGCCAGAUUCUGGGAGCCAACCCUGAUUUUGCCACCCUCUGGAACUGCCGACGAGAGGUGCUCCAGCAGCUGGAGACUCAGAAGUCUCCUGAAGAGUUGGCUGCUCUGGUGAAGGCAGAACUGGGCUUCCUGGAGAGCUGCCUGCGGGUGAACCCCAAGUCUUAUGGUACCUGGCACCACCGAUGCUGGCUGCUAGGCCGCCUACCUGAGCCCAACUGGACCCGAGAGCUGGAGCUCUGUGCCCGUUUCCUGGAGGUGGAUGAGCGGAA